rnacentral:rRNA from 1 species
CCUACGGGUGGCAGCAGUGGGGAAUAUUGGGCAAUGGAGGCAACUCUGACCCAGCAACGCCGCGUGAAUGAUGAAGGUCUUCGGUUUGUAAAGUUCUAUUCUCAGGGAAGAAGAAAGUGACGGUACCUUAGGAAUAAGCCCCGGCUAAAUACGUGCCAGCAGCCGAGGUAAUACGUAGGAGGCAAGCGUUAUCCGGAAUGACUGGGUGGAAAGGGUGCGAAGGUGGUUUGACAAGUUAGUAGCGCAACUCCGGAGCUCAACUGCGGAACUGCUACUAAAACUGUUGGACUGGAGUGCAGGAGGGGCAAUCGGAAUUCCUAGUGUAGCGGUGGAAUGCGUAGAUAUUAGGAGGAACACCAGUGGCGAAGGCGGAUUGCUAGACUGUAACUGACACUGAGGCACGAAAGCGUGGGGAGCAAACAGGAUUAGAUACCCGAGUAGUC